rnacentral:piRNA from 1 species
UAAGAAACUACUUGAUUUAUU